UCUUGACAAAAUAUAUUUAUUGUAGAUGUGUGUCACAGCCUGUCAAAGAUGUGGCAGCCUCGCAGGUGCAGCUGACAAGAAAAACAACCCUUAGACCGUACAAAUUUCAGCUUCACAUUAGGUGCCACAAACCACUGAUAUUUGUUUGCUUCAUGUUAUCUACCUACCGUUGGAUCUGAGGAUUGUGUUCCUCACUUUUGUUGUGGUAUUGUACAUAUAAAUCAAGCGUAUGAUGCAAUGGCUGUAUAUCUGAGUGCUUUUGCUUUAUGCUGCUAUCAGUUGCGUAGUUAUGUAGUUUCUUUUGUCUUGCGGCGUGCUUUCUCAGAAAAAACGACAUGUGUUUAUUCCCAUUUCA